AUUGAACGCUGGCGGCAGGCUUAACACAUGCAAGUCGAGCGGAGAUGAGGUGCUUGCACCUUAUCUUAGCGGCGGACGGAUGAGUAAUGCUUAGGAAUCUGCCUAUUAGUGGGGGACAACAUUCCGAAAGGAAUGCUAAUACCGCAUACGUCCUACGGGAGAAAGCAGGGGAUCUUCGGACCUUGCGCUAAUAGAUGAGCCUAAGUCGGAUUAGCUAGUUGGUGGGGUAAAGGCCUACCAAGGCGACGAUCUGUAGCGGGUCUGAGAGGAUGAUCCGCCACACUGGGACUGAGACACGGCCCAGACUCCUACGGGAGGUAGCAGUGGGGAAUAUUGGACAAUGGGGGGAACCCUGAUCCAGCCAUGCCGCGUGUGUGAAGAAGGCCUUAUGGUUGUAAAGCACUUUAAGCGAGGAGGAGGCUACUGAGACUAAUACUCUUGGAUAGUGGACGUUACUCGCAGAAUAAGCACCGGCUAACUCUGUGCCAGCCGCCGCAGUAA
rnacentral:rRNA from 1 species